rnacentral:rRNA from 1 species
AACGAACGCUGGCGGCAUGCCUAACACAUGCAAGUCGAACGAGAUCUUCGGGUCUAGUGGCGCACGGGUGCGUAACGCGUGGGAAUCUGCCCUUUGGUUCGGAAUAACAGUUGGAAACGACUGCUAAUACCGGAUGAUGACGAAAGUCCAAAGAUUUAUCGCCAGAGGAUGAGCCCGCGUAGGAUUAGCUAGUUGGUGUGGUAAAGGCGCACCAAGGCGACGAUCCUUAGCUGGUCUGAGAGGAUGAUCAGCCACACUGGGACUGAGACACGGCCCAGACUCCUACGGGAGACAGCAGUGGGGAAUAUUGGACAAUGGGCGAAAGCCUGAUCCAGCAAUGCCGCGUGAGUGAUGAAGGCCAUAGGGUUGUAAAGCUCUUUUACCCGGGAUGAUAAUGACAGUACCGGGAGAAUAAGCUCCGGCUAACUCCGUGCCAGCAGCCGCCGUAACAC